UACGUAGGGGGCGAGCGUUGUCCGGAUUUAUUGGGCGUAAAAGGCUUGUAGGUGGCCACGGCAAGUCGGAUGUGAAAUCUCCCGGCUCAACUGGGAGGGGUCAUUCGAUACUGCCGGGCUCGAGGCCGGUAGGGGGAAGCGGAAUUCCCGGUGUAGUGGUGGAAGUGCGUAGAUAUCGGGAGGAACACCAGAGGCGAAGGCGGCUUCCUGGACCGGUCCGUGACACUGAGGAGCGAAAGCGUGGGGAGCGAUCCGG
rnacentral:rRNA from 1 species